UACGUAGGGUCCGAGCGUUGUCCGGAAUUAUUGGGCGUAAAGGGCUCGUAGGCGGUUUGUCACGUCGGGAGUGAAAACUCAGGGCUCAACCCUGAGCGUGCUUCCGAUACGGGCAGACUAGAGGUAUGCAGGGGAGAACGGAAUUCCUGGUGUAGCGGUGGAAUGCGCAGAUAUCAGGAGGAACACCGGUGGCGAAGGCGGUUCUCUGGGCAUUACCUGACGCUGAGGAGCGAAAGCAGUGGGGAGCGAACAGG
rnacentral:rRNA from 1 species